UACGUAGGGUGCGAGCGUUGUCCGGAAUUAUUGGGCGUAAAGAGCUCGUAGGCGGUGUGUCACGUCGGCCGUGAAAACCUGCAGCUUAACUGUGGGCGUGCGGUCGAUACGGGCAUCACUGGAGUUCGGCAGGGGAGACUGGAAUUCCUGGUGUAGCGGUGAAAUGCGCAGAUAUCAGGAGGAACACCGGUGGCGAAGGCGGGUCUCUGGGCCGAU
rnacentral:rRNA from 1 species